rnacentral:rRNA from 1 species
AUACGUAGGGGGCAAGCGUUAUCCGGAAUUAUUGGGCGUAAAGAGUGCGUAGGUGGUUACCUAAGCAGGGGGUGAAAGGCACUGGCUUAACCAAUGUCAGCCCCCUGAACUGGGCUACUUGAGUGCAGGAGAGGAAAGUGGAAUUCCUAGUGUAGCGGUGAAAUGCGUAGAUACUAGGAGGAACACCAGUGGCGAAGGCGACUUUCUGGACUGUUACUGACACUGAGGCACGAAAGUGUGGGGAGCACACAGGAUUAGAUACCCUGGUAGUCCACACCGUAAACGAUGAGCACUAGGUGUCGGGGGAGCAAUUUCUCGGUGCCGCAGUUAACGCAUUAAGCGCCCCGCCUGGGGAGUACGGCCGCAAGGCUAAAACUCAAAGGAAUUGACGGGG